AUAUAGCUUAAGUUGAAAAGCAUAGGAUUUGCACUCCUGAAGAUUCUGGCUUGAUCCCAGAUGU
rnacentral:tRNA from 1 species